AUUGAACGCUGGCGGCAGGCCUAACACAUGCAAGUCGAGCGGAUGAAGGGAGCUUGCUCCUGGAUUCAGCGGCGGACGGGUGAGUAAUGCCUAGGAAUCUGCCUGGUAGUGGGGGAUAACGUCCGGAAACGGGCGCUAAUACCGCAUACGUCCUGAGGGAGAAAGUGGGGGAUCUUCGGACCUCACGCUAUCAGAUGAGCCUAGGUCGGAUUAGCUAGUUGGUGGGGUAAAGGCCUACCAAGGCGACGAUCCGUAACUGGUCUGAGAGGAUGAUCAGUCACACUGGAAAUGAGAAACGGUCCAGACUCCCACGGGAGGCAGCAGUGGGGAAUAUUGGACAAUGGGCGAAGGCCUGAUCCAGGCAUGCCGCGUGUGGGAAGAAGGUCUUCGGAUUGUAAAGCACUUUAAGUUGGGAGGAAGGGCAGUAAGUUAAUACCUUGCUGUUUUGACGUUACCAACAGAAUAAGCACCGGCUAACUUCGUG
rnacentral:rRNA from 1 species